rnacentral:lncRNA from 1 species
CAUCAAGGAUGGACUUGUCACCAAUAGCCCUCUACACAUUCCAAUAGUGCCAGGGGCGUAGCAUGGGCCUUACUGGUCUUUCUCUUACAUAACAUAACAUAACAUUCCAACGUGCCAGGGGCAUAGUAUGGGCCUCACUGGUCUUUCUCUUACAUAGUACCAGGGGAGUUGAAUGGGCCUCACUGGUCUUGCACACUAUACCAUAUCAUAUCAUAUCAUCAUACGAGGGCUAAUGGAUCAUUCAACACCCAUCCACAUCAACAUUAUAUUAUGCAAUGCAACAUAUUCGUGAAUUCUAGUGCAAACAACCUAAUAUAUCACAUGGCAUUCGUGAUGCAUGAACAUGCUCUAAAUUUAUUUGCUUUGAAACGUAAAGAUCUAU